rnacentral:sRNA from 1 species
CAGAACCCCGUUGGGGGAAGGUGAGAACCUUCGACCAAGGUUCGACAAAACCGAAGGUUUUGAACAACGCGUCAGCGUUGGCCCGCAGGGCGAGACGCGUAGCGGCGAGUUAUCCUUCCCCCACCACCA